rnacentral:rRNA from 1 species
GUCUAGAGUCAUACCUCCCUGAGCACACUGGAUCUCACCUGAUCUUGGAAGGUAAGCAGAAUUGCACCUAGUUAGUACUUGGAUGGGAAUACAAUAAUAUUUUUUUUACAUU